UCCUCGGUAGCUCAGCGGUAGAGUAGGUGGCUGUUAACCACUUGGUCGCGUGUUCGAAUCACGCCCGAGGAG
rnacentral:tRNA from 1 species